UGAACGCUGGCGGCAUGCCUUACACAUGCACGUCGAACGGCAGCACGGGUGCUUGCACCUGGUGGCGAGUGGCGAACGGGUGAGUAAUACAUCGGAACAUGUCCUGUAGUGGGGGAUAGCCCGGCGAAAGCCGGAUUAAUACCGCAUACGAUCUACGGAUGAAAGCGGGGGACCUUCGGGCCUCGCGCUAUAGGGUUGGCCGAUGGCUGAUUAGCUAGUUGGUGGGGUAAAGGCCUACCAAGGCGACGAUCAGUAGCUGGUCUGAGAGGACGACCAGCCACACUGGGACUGAGACACGGCCCAGACUCCUACGGGAGGCAGCAGUGGGGAAUUUUGGACAAUGGGCGAAAGCCUGAUCCAGCAAUGCCGCGUGUGUGAAGAAGGCCUUCGGGUUGUAAAGCACUUUUGUCCGGAAAGAAAUCCUUGGCCCUAAUACGGUCGGGGGAUGACGGUACCGGAAGAAUAAGCACCGGCUAACUACGUG
rnacentral:rRNA from 1 species